rnacentral:rRNA from 1 species
GCGGGACUGAGAUACGGCCCAGACUCCUACGGGAGGCAGCAGUGGGGAAUAUUGCACAAUGGGCGCAAGCCUGAUGCAGCGACGCCGCGUGCGGGAUGACGGCCUUCGGGUUGUAAACCGCUUUUGACUGGGAGCAAGCCCUUCGGGGUGAGUGUACCUUUCGAAUAAGCACCGGCUAACUACGUGCCAGCGGCCGCGGUAAUACGUAGGGUGCAAGCGUUAUCCGGAAUUAUUGGGCGUAAAGGGCUCGUAGGCGGUUCGUCGCGUCCGGUGUGAAAGUCCAUCGCUUAACGGUGGAUCCGCGCCGGGUACGGGCGGGCUUGAGUGCGGUAGGGGAGACUGGAAUUCCCGGCGUAACGGUGGAAUGUGUAGAUAUCGGGAAGAACACCAAUGGCGAAGGCAGGUCUCUGGGCCGUCACUGACGCUGAGGAGCGAAAGCGUGGGGAGCGAACAGGAUUAGAUACCCUGGUAGUCCACGCCGUAAACGGUGGAUGCUGGAUGUGGGGACCAUUCCACGGUCUCCGUGUCGGAGCCAACGCGUUAAGCAUCCCGCCUGGGGAGUACGGCCGCAAGGCUAAAACUCAAAGAAAUUGACGGGGGCCCGCACAAGCGGCGGAGCAUGCGGAUUAAUUCGAUGCAGCGCGAAGAACCUUACCUGGGCUUGACAUGUUCCCGACAGCCGUAGAGAUACGGUCUCCCUUCGGGGCGGGUUCACAGGUGGUGCAUGGUCGUCGUCAGCUCGUGUCGUGAGAUGUUGGGUUAAGUCCCGCAACGAGCGCAACCCUCGCCCUGUGUUGCCAGCACGUCGUGGUGGGAACUCACGGGGGACCGCCGGGGUCAACUCGGAGGAAGGUGGGGAUGACGUCAGAUCAUCAUGCCCCUUACGUCCAGGGCUUCACGCAUGCUACAAUGGCCGGUACAACGGGAUGCGACCUCGUGAGGGGGAGCGGAUCCCUUAAAACCGGUCUCAGUUCGGAUUGGAGUCUGCAACCCGACUCCAUGAAGGCGGAGUCGCUAGUAAUCGCGGAUCAGCAACGCCGCGGUGAAUGCGUUCCCGGGCCUUGUACACACCGCCCGUCAAGUCAUGAAAGUGGGUAGCACCCGAAGCCGGUGGCCCAACCUUUUUGGGGGGAGCCGUCUAAGGUGAGACUCGUGAUUGGGACUAAGUCGUAACAAGGUAGCCGUACCGGAAGGUGCGGCUG